rnacentral:rRNA from 1 species
AUUGAACGCUGGCGGCAGGCCUAACACAUGCAAGUCGAGCGGAGCGGAGGACGGGUGAGUAAUGCCUAGGAAUCAGCCUGGUAGUGGGGGAUAAAGUCCGGAAACGGGCGCUAAUACCGCAUCCGAGCAGAAGAGCCUAGGUCGGAUUGGCUAGUUGGUGGGGUAAAGGCAUACCAAGGAGACGAUCCGUACAUGGUCUGAGAGGAUGAUCAGUCACCCUGUAACUGAGACACGGUCCCGGCUCCUACGGGAGGCAGCAGGGGGGAAUAUUGGACAAGGGGUGAAAGCCUGAUCCAGCCAUGCCGCGUGUGUGAAUAAGGUCUUCGGAUUGUAAAGCACUUUAAGUUGGGAGGCGUUACCAACAGAAUAAGCACCGGCUAACUUCGUGCCAGCAGCCGCGGUAAUAC